UACGAAGGGGGCUAGCGUUGUUCGGAAUUACUGGGCGUAAAGUGCGCGCAGGCGGUCUUCCAAGUCAGUGGUGAAAGCCCGGAGCUCAACUCCGGAACUGCCAUUGAAACUGUAAGACUUGAGGAUGAGAGAGGUGAGUGGAAUUCCCAGUGUAGAGGUGAAAUUCGUAGAUAUUGGGAAGAACACCGGUGGCGAAGGCGGCUCACUGGCUCAUAUCUGACGCUCAGGCGCGACAGCGUGGGGAGCAAACAGG
rnacentral:rRNA from 1 species